CAGGCAUGCUAUACACAUUCUCUACUGAAAUCAGUGUCCUCAAAUGCCUGCGGCGUUCUAAACACACGAGCAACAAGGAGGCAUAGCCACUGACCAGAGAAGAUGAAGCACUCUGGAGAGAUCAAAGACCAUCGGGCCUGAGUGGCUGUACAAUUUCGCACUGGGGGUUCUAUUCAGCAGUCUAAAUUGCAGCUGGUCUGUCUGUCCAAAGCACAACAUGGCACACAAUUAU
rnacentral:lncRNA from 1 species